CCCUGAUUUUCGCAAAAAUAUUUUAGCUUUUUGUUUUGGAGUUUUCCUUGGUGUUUGCCUUCGCUUCGACAUUUUAACAAUUGUUUCGAGUUGCACAAGUGGCAAGAAUCAUCCUGGCUAGUGAAAGACAGGGAACGAAUAUUCAAACCUCACGGAAAUUUUGGAAAAUCGUUAUUUGUAAGUAAUGGUAAAAAUAUACUGUUUAUAUAUGUUCAAUAUUAAUUUGUGAUAGAGUAGCUAGCCGCUAGGUCAAAACAAAGCGAAAUAAACAGUCUAUUUGUACUGUGUAGUGGACAAUUUUAGCAACUGGUGUAUGUAAUUAGGUUGCCCAAACUAUAUUAAUACGAGAAACAGUCUUCCUCGAAAGAAAAUGGUUGAAAUUUCAGAUUUUAGUUUCAUUUGUUAUUUCAAAUAAUUUUUACGAUAUAAAAUGCCAGUUGACCACGAUCUGCUUCAUGAUACUACUUAGUAAAAUUAAAGUGCUUUCUAUUUAUAUUAGUAUUGCUAUAGAGGAAGACCUUUUUAAGCCAGAACUAUCAUGGCUUUGAAUGUUUUUAAUCCAUGUACUAAUAUUAAAUACUGGCCACUGAUGGUAAUCAGGCAAUGAAAUUAUAAAUAUGUGUAGAAUUAUCAAGUCUAUCAAGAUUCAAAAAUUGACAGUUCAAUUCUACCAACUUCUGUUGAAGCUAGUUUCAUUUUCUCUAGAAAUUGCAUGAGUAAAAUCAAUUUCAUAAUUAACCCAUUGAGCCACAAUGCAUCCUACUUAUUCUUUUUUACUUGUCUAAAGCCAGACAAUUUUACUUGUCAAUGGGGAAGCUCUGCAGCUCAUUGGGUUAACCAAAAAUAUCUGACUGUAAUCUCUAGUUAACUCAUUGAGCCGCAAUGUGCCCAACUUACAUUUUUUACUUGUCUAAAGCCAGACAGUAUUACUUGUCAAUGGGGAAGCGCUGCAGCUUAAUGGGUUGAGAAAAUGAAACAUUCUUGAGUGAUAUUUGAUGUUGGUAAUUCAUGCAUUUUUGGAGGAAAAUAUUUUACACCAUGGUUAUUUGCCUGACACCGAACCCCAAUAUUUACAUGCUAUUUGUCUGAACUAUUUUCCUCACUCUUUCAACAUGCUAAAAUUAUACAAAUUUCAGUUGAAUUCAAGCAAGUCCUCGGGCCCAAGUUGUCAAGACUAUCACCUUCAUUGUUGGUAGCAUAUAUCUGCUUAAGCCCUGGGUUCAAAUGAGUGGAAUUUCAAGAGCAUUCUGACCGGCUUUGUGCAAACAGGUGGCCUUCCCAGUUAAGAUGAGGGCCAGUUAAGGUUAUGGUUGGGUGCAGGCAAGGUUCAUGUAAACUUAUUGUUAGCAAGAGUGUUAUGUGUACAUAAUCAUGUGUAAUGUGUUGGAUUAAUCAUUAAUGGCAUUUAAACGUUGGGAUCCAGUGUCAAACAAUAACCACAACUGUUGGAAACGGGUCUUCACAACACAAUCACAAAAUUAAUAAAAUAUAUAAUAAAACAAAAAUAAAUUUGCAAAUAUAAUCUGAUAUGUAGUUCACGCUUCGCUAGUGUUUUUCGAUCAACAACAUGUUUGUUACAUUCGUCCCCGGAAUUACAUCACCCUGGGCAAAGUUCCCAGAGGACUAAAUUUCCGACAUUGUGCAAUUUACUUCACAACAAUUAUUAUAUAAAGUAUUUCGUUGUUUUUGUGUAAUAUUAAUUUCUCACAUAAAUUUUUUUUCAGAAAUAAAGCACCAUUGAGCAACUUGGGAAAGAGGAGUCACAAACUGUUGAUGAAUAUAUUUAAUUAACUACAUCCACAUAAAAUACAAUUUUAUUACAGUAUAUUGAUUUAUGGGUUAUUAGAUUACAUUAUUUUCAUAUUUUAAUUAAUUAAAGAUAAAAUUAAAAAAUUAAAUGACAAAAUCAGUGUGAAAAUAUUGCAAUAAUCAAUUAAAAUGUCAAACCAGCCAAUUGUUUCAAUUAUGCAUUUGUGAGUGUAACCUAACCCCCCCCCCCCUUGAGAGAACCCUAUUAUCCCUUUUGAUAAGUGGCGAUGCACCAUAUAAUUUUCCUGUCAAAUGCCAGACAAAUAUACUUGUC
rnacentral:lncRNA from 1 species